rnacentral:rRNA from 1 species
AUUGAACGCUGGCGGCAUGCCUUACACAUGCAAGUCGAACGGCAGCACGGGUGCUUGCACCUGGUGGCGAAUGGCGAACGGGUGAGUAAUAAAUGGGAAGAUGUCUUGCAGUGGGGGAUAGCCCGGCGCAAGCAGGAUUAAUACAGCACACGAACUACGGAUGAAAGCGGGGGGGGGACGGGCCUCGCGCUAUCGGGUUGGUGGAUGCCUGAUUAGCUAGUUGGUGGGGUAAAGGCCUACCAAGGCGACGAUCGGUAGCUGGUCUGAGAGGACGACCAGCCACACUGGGACUGAGUCACGGCCCAGACUCCUACGGGAGGCAGCAGUGGGGAAUUUUGGACAAUGGGCGAAAGCCUGAUCCAGCAAUGCCGCGUGUAUGAAGAAGGCCUUCGGGUUGUAAAGCACUUUUGUCCGGAAAGAAAUCCUUAGCCCUAAUACGGUCGGUCGAUGACGGUACCGGAAGAAUAAGCACCGGCUAACUACGUG